rnacentral:tRNA from 1 species
GCAGUCGUGGCCGAGUGGUUAAGGUGAUGGACUAGAAAUCCAUUGGGGUCUCCCCGCACAGGUUCGAAUCCUUUCGACAGCG